UACGGGAGGCAGCAGUGGGGAAUAUUGCACAAUGGGCGAAAGCCUGAUGCAGCUAUGCCGCGUGUAUGAAGAAGGCCUUAGGGUUGUAAAGUACUUUCAUCGGGGAGGAAAAAACAAAACUAAUAAUUUUAUUUCUUGACGUUACCCGAAAAAGAAGCACCGGCUAACUCCGUGCCAGCAGCCGCGGUAAUACGGAGGGUGCUAGCGUUAAUCAGAAUUACUGGGCGUAAAGAGCACGUAGGUGGUUUUUUAAGUCAGAUGUGAAAUCCCUGGGCUUAACCUGGAACUGCAUUUUGAAACUGAAAUACUAGAGUAUCGUAGAGGGAGGUAGAAUUCUAGGUGUAGCGGUGAAAUGCGUAGAUAUCUGGAGGAAUACCUGUGGCGAAAGCGGCCUCCUAAACGAAUACUGACACUGAGGUGCGAAAGCGUUGGGGAGCAAACAGGGAUUAGAUACC
rnacentral:rRNA from 1 species